rnacentral:misc_RNA from 1 species
UGAAGUGUGAUAAUUAGUGUGAAUUGCAGAAUAUCGCGAAUCAUCGAAACCUUGAACGCAAAUGGCAGAGGGCAUUUAACCAGUGACCCUCUUAGCCCAAUUGAGUGUAGGCUCAGUCAACACAACCGAAUAAUGAAAAAUUUAUUCGGGGAUAAUGACCUUCGCAUUAAAACAGCGUCGGGAUUAAAUUAACACGGUAAAAUUGACCAGGAUAAUGGUUCUCGCUGAAUUUGAUUCGGGCUUACUAAGCGAUAAUCAUAUAAAAAAUAUCUCGGCAAAAAGGCCUGAUAAUAAUAACCGAACCAAUCAAAUUAUAAACGUCACCUCAGUUUGGCUAGAUAACCCGCUGGAUUUAA